rnacentral:rRNA from 1 species
UACAGAGGUGGCAAGCGUUGUCCGGAUUUACUGGGUGUAAAGGGUGCGCAGGCGGACUGGUCAGUCAGAGGUGAAAUCUCGUCGCUUAACGACGAAACUGCCUUUGAUACUAUCAGUCUUGAGUCCGGUAGAGAUCUGUGGAAUUCCGAGUGUAGCAGUGAAAUGUGUAGAUAUUCGGAAGAACACCAGUGGCGAAGGCAGCAGAUUGGGCCGGUACUGACGCUCAGGCACGAAAGCGUGGGGAUCAAACAGG